rnacentral:rRNA from 1 species
GGAGGAAGAUCUGACGUUACUUGGAGAAUAAGCAUCGGCUAACCCUGUGCCAGCAGCCGCGGUAAUACAGGGGAUGCAAGUGUUAUCCGGAAUUAUUGGGCGUAAAGCGUCUGCAGGUGGAUAAGUAAGUCUUUUGUUAAAUCUUCGAGCUUAACUCGGAACAAGCAAAAGAAACUAUUUAUCUCGAGUAUGGUAGAGGUAGAGGGAAUUUCCAGUGGAGCGGUGAAAUGCGUAGAUAUUGGAAAGAACACCAACAGCGAAGGCACUCUACUGGGCCAUUACUGACACUCAGAGACGAAAGCUAGGGGAGCAAACAGGAUUAGAUACCCUGGUAGUCCUAGCUGUAAACGAUGGAUACUAGAUGUUGUGUACUUUAUGAGUAUGCAGUGUCGUAGCU